AGGUUAGUUCAUCAGGAUCUGAGGAGAUCUGCAGUUUACACAGUGAGAAACUCAAGCUCUUCUGUCUGGAGGACAAACAGCCGGUGUGUGUGGUGUGCUUUACUUACACAACAACAUGACAAUCACAAAUUCAGACCCAUCGGUGAAGUGGUUUCAUCACUGAGGGAGGAGCUCAAUACAACACUGAAUUCCUUACAGGAGGAACUUCAACACAAAGAAAUCAUUAAAGGAAAGUUUGAAAAAACACUUCAAUACAUCAACGUGAGAUUUGAUAUUUCUACAUUUUAUUAGAAUAGAUGCAGUAUUGUGUCUGACAUAAUAACAUGUUCCUGUAUUGACUGUUUACUCCUUGGAGUUUAUGAAAUUAACUAUCAAACAUGUGCAUUUAAAAUCUUUUUAUUCUCGGAAAAGAAAAACUAUUAUACAGGAGUGUCGUGGAAAAGUUAAUUUCAGUAAUUCAACUCAAAUUGUGAAACUCGUGUAUUAAAUAAAUUAAAUGCACACAGACAGA